AGUGAACGUUGGCGGUAGGCCUAACACAUGCAAGUCGAACGGCAGCACAGUAAGAGCUUGCUCUUACGGGUGGCGAGUGGCGGACGGGUGAGGAAUACAUCGGAAUCUACUUUUUCGUGGGGGAUAACGUAGGGAAACUUACGCUAAUACCGCAUACGACCUACGGGUGAAAGCAGGGGAUCUUCGGACCUUGCGCGAUUGAAUGAGCCGAUGUCGGAUUAGCUAGUUGGCGGGGUAAAGGCCCACCAAGGCGACGAUCCGUAGCUGGUCUGAGAGGAUGAUCAGCCACACUGGAACUGAGACACGGUCCAGAGUCCUACGGGAGGCAGCAGUGGGGAAUAUUGGACAAUGGGCGCAAGCCUGAUCCAGCCAUACCGCGUGGGUGAAGAAGGCCUUCGGGUUGUAAAGCCCUUUUGUUGGGAAAGAAAAGCAGCAGGUUAAUACCCCGCUGUUCUGACGGUACCCAAAGAAUAAGCACCGGCUAACUUCGUG
rnacentral:rRNA from 1 species